ensembl:snRNA U5 U5 spliceosomal RNA
AUACUCUGGUUUCUCUUCAGAUCACAUGGAUCUUUCGCCUUUUACUAAAGAUUUCUGUGAAAAGGAAUAUUUAUGAGUUUCUACCCAGAUCCGUUCAUCUUUUUUUAUAUACGAUA